GUUUAACAAAAAUAGAAUACACAGUUAUAAGUGAAUCAGAAUUUAUUUCAAUCUCACGAAGGAGUUUCGGGGAUUACACGGUUCUCAUAAUGUAUCACCUUGCUGUGCAAAGGCUGCUUCCUGCUGCAGGGCGGUGUAGGGAAAGCUGCUUUUAUUCAUACGAGGAGACUUUUGCAUCAGCAAAUGAACGAUAUUACAGCUCUUAUGCGUUAGCCUUUCGGUAGCUUGACACGGGAAAGAAGGAAUUAGAGCAGUGUGUUAAAGGACGAGGUCUGCUUUCUUGCAUCUCAAGCGGUGGUAGAUUUGCAGAAUAGGCCUGCGAAGCAAUGUGCAGAGCACGAUGUUCAUUUUCAUAUGUCAGUAUGCGUCUGCACUGGAGACUGUCUUUCAGGAUCAUUUAGAUGAAAAGAUUAUAGUCAGAGCUCUUCCUUCAAAAACACACGCUAAAAAUAGUGGCAGGUACAAGAGGGUUUUUCUUCAAAGGACACGGUUAGAGAUUGCCAGAGCGGUGAACAAAGCCGGUUCUCUUGAGACAAGGAGAUACGGCAUCCUCAUUUCUCAACACAGUGCAUAUUUAUGGAACAGCAACAUCAGAAGGCACUGUGGAAUUAGAACUCUGACCUCUGGCUUUAGGAGAAGGCUGGUCCUGCAGUAAGUAAGCCUGGUGCUGGUGGUUUCCGCAAGCUUAUAAACAAUGCUCCACAUCUUAACCUCCUUCCCUCUGUCCCUUGCAAAUAUAUGCCAUGGAUAUAUACGUGACAUGUCACCAAGCUAUUUUAAGUCUUUCGUGACACCAGCAGAGAGGAGGAGGAGGAAGUUUGAGCAAAUGUGGGGGUGUAUUUUAUUCAAAUUCAGUUUACAUAGCUCCCGUGAGAAUGACAUGCUGCCGUGAAGAAUGGACAACUCAGAACACCACUCCGAAGCCCUGGGAAAAAAGUUCAUCUCUACAUUUGACUCCAUGGUCCUGUACUGGUGAAUGUGGCACCACUGGAGCGGUACUGCAGGAACCAUUGCUUUCCCAGAGCAGAUCACAAAAAGGUCUGCAGUGGUUCUUCUGAAGCAGUUUUUUAUGAAGGAGCAUUUGUAUGGACACCCGUGUUUUAGAUAAGAAACUGUGUGGUGAACACCACUGGAUAGUUAACACGAAAAUGAUUCAUUCCCACAGCACUGGCAAGUGCAGAGAUUUCCAAGCCCAGGCCCAAGCACGGAGGUUUUUUAAGCCUUAUUGAAGAGAGUGGGAAGUCUGUUAGAGUAAAAGGAAAGGCUCAUUCACCAAAUCUGGAUUGAGAAGGCGACCAAGGAUUGAUAUUUAAUAUCAGAUAAGCUGCAGAACUGGCCCGGAGGGUUAGUGCUAUCAUCUGAGUUCUGAGUGUUGGUUUCAAGAUUUCAUGGGGCUGGUAAAGGACUUCGUCCAUCACGUUCCUCAAAGGCUCAGAAAGCCCAUCCCACCACUGUGCCGCAGCCAAAGGAGCAGCACAGAUAGGCUCCAUAGGGAGUCUCCUCCUGACCAUCACAGCCUGGGUAGAUUGCUGUAAAGGGAAGCCUUUGGGAAAAACAAGCCUUUUCCAGCCAGAUGGAACCUAUCAAACGGCAACGAGUUUGGCUGUUCCACUGUGUCCUACUGGAAACCUGAAAGCCAAGAAGAUCCGUUUCCCAUGCGCAGCCCAUCUGCCUUUCUGAGGAGCUCUAGAGCAUGAAUGCAGGCUGCAGCCUGUAAGAUGCUUUGGGGUUUAUUGACCUUAAAGAAAUCCCACUGACUUCAGCUGCGAUGCCAAAUUAGUGCUGUACUCUCAAAACCUUUUGCAGAUCUAUCUCUGCGUUCCUGAGAUGGUAGCCUGGUCUAAAGGUUGUAAGACGUGUGUGUCAAAAGUGAAGUGUUUUGUAGGGCAUCUAGCAGCACUAACGGUGUGAUUGAGUGUCUUUCUCUAUCACUGCAUGCUUAUUUAUGAAAGAGACAAUAUUUAGCUACAUCAGAGAGUGGGUUUGUAAAACCGACCAUAUUCAUCAUAGAAUCAUUAAGGUUGGAAAAGACCAGUAAGGUCAUCUAGUCCAACCAUUAAGUUAGAGAGUGGUUUGGUGAGGAUGAUAAAAUAUCCAUAAGCACUGCAGAAUCUUUAAAAAGAAAGCUUGUUCUUUUCCUGAUUAAGCUGCAUAUUCACAGCUUUUUUAAUCCAAAAAAGCUAUCAAUUCUGUACUACAGAUGUCAGAGCUUUAAUACAAGGGAAGGCCGAGUUUCCCUUCUGUGAUAGUUUGUUCGUAGGUG
ensembl:lncRNA